rnacentral:ncRNA from 2 species
UAGGUAUCAAGAGCGCGGGGAGGGAACUGGCCCUAUGAUCCGCCGGCAAAUCUUGCUUUUUAUGCAAGGGAGUGCUCCUUCCAGCCCGUACAACAUACGGGGAAGAUAAGUC